CAAAAAUAAUUAGGUAUUA
rnacentral:snRNA from 1 species